UGGGGGAUAUUGCACAAUGGGCGAAAGCCUGAUGCAGCGACGCCGCGUGGGGGAUGAAGGCCUUCGGGUUGUAAACUUCUUUUGCUCUGAACAAGGCAUGCUAAUGGGUGUGUUGAGUGUAGGGGUUGAUUAGCGCCGGCUAACUACGUGCCAGCAGCCGCGGUAAUACGUAGGGCGCGAGCGUUGUCCGGAAUUAUUGGGCGUAAAGGGCUUGUAGGUGGCUGGUUGCGUCUGUCGUGAAAGCUCAUGGCUUAACUGUGGGUUUGCGUUGGGUAGGGGCUGGCUUGAGUGCAGUAGUGGAGGGUGGAAUUCCUGGUGUAGCGGUGGAAUGCGCAGAUAUCAGGAGGAAUACCGGUGGCGAGGGCGGGUCUCUGGGCUGUUACUGACACUGAGGAGCGAAAGCAUGCGGAGCGAGCAGG
rnacentral:rRNA from 1 species